rnacentral:rRNA from 1 species
UACGUAGGGGGCAAGCGUUGUCCGGAUUUAUUGGGCGUAAAGAGCUUGUAGGCGGUUUGUCGCGUCUGCUGUGAAAUUUCGGGGCUCAACCCCGAACUUGCGGUGGGUACGGGCAGACUAGAGUGUGGUAGGGGAGACUGGAAUUCCUGGUGUAGCGGUGAAAUGCGCAGAUAUCAGGAGGAACACCGAUGGCGAAGGCAGGUCUCUGGGCCAUAACUGACGCUGAGAAGCGAAAGCAUGGGGAGCGAACAGG